rnacentral:rRNA from 1 species
UUGGCGAACGGGUGAGUAACGCGUGAGUAACCUGCCCUAGAGUGGGGGGACAACAGUUGGAAACGACUGCUAAUACCGCAUAAGCCCACGGUACCGCAUGGUACUGAGGGAAAAGGAUUUAUUCGCUUUAGGAUGGACUCGCGUCCAAUUAGCUAGUUGGUGAGGUAACGGCCCACCAAGGCGACGAUUGGUAGCCGGACUGAGAGGUUGAACGGCCACAUUGGGACUGAGACACGGCCCAG